AAUUUUUUUCCGAAUGUCUACAGUCAAUAUGGCCAAGAGAAAUGGUUAUUCUUUUGGUUAGUGUUUAUAUGUACUUAAUUAUGGCGUAAUAAAUGCUGAUUUAAGUAACAAACUUACCAGCCGGUUGUUGCAGUUCACUUGGCUUCUAGAGACGUAUCCCCAAGUUUCACUGGGCCGUAAGGCCUAUGAUACCUACUUUGCAGCUUAAACAAAUACAUUAAUAUGGGUUAGUAUUAUAUUAAAUGUUUCUCUAACGUCUAACCAGUAAUUUAUUAACGUUUUAAAACUUUUAGGGCAAGUAUACCGCCAAAUGAGCCAUAACAACCGAGCCGAAACUAUAAACCGGUGGCGAGUAACAAGCGUAAACCGCACAUCAGUAUUUGCGUUAUAAUUAACCAGUAAGUGAGUGCAAUGACGAGAUUGGGUGAAAUUAUUGUAUUUAUUUUUUUAAUUUCACAUUUUCCCUCUUGCUUCGAAGCCCAGCCCACUUUUGGCGGAGCCGGGUGGUCGUAACUCAAUAGUUACGCAUUUCAUCUAACGUUCAUCACCAAAAUAUAACUGUUUUGUGGAAUUACGAUACAAUAUUUUUCACUGGCUAGUUCUUUGCUUCCUCUUUAACUAGGAUUUCUGGGAGUUGAAACCGAAUUUAUUACGGGUUUUAGCCGGGCGAAGCGAGGCAUGCUAGGCGAGGCAGGCAAGAAGCCAGACAGGAAGCGAAGCGAGGCGAGUUGAGGUAGGGAGCCGGGCGAGGCAAGGGAGCCGGCGGAGGGCGAGGUUGAGGGGUUUCAGAAUAUUUGUACAGUGUAUAUUAAAUUUUUAAAAGUGGACAACCAUGGAUUUUAGCAUCGGAAAAACACAUUGGUCAACAACCAAAAAGCACCAAAACUAAACUAACGUAACGUAGCCUAACAACGUAACAUAGCCUAACCUGGAGGUUCGUUGGUUGUCUGCUUGUAAAAAAAAAAUACCGGGUUCCUAAAAUAAAUGUUAAGAUGUAUAUAAAGACACCGUUAAAAUGUAUUGGUAAAUAAGGCCGUAACCAUCUAAUUAACCUCUGGAAAAUGUUAAAAUGUUUGGCUCGCCUGAAGAUUCAUCCCCCAGCUUAUUUCAACUGAAGAUCAAUUUAACCUAAGCCAAUCUACGUAUUACAAUGUGUUGGCGAAUCUUUCUUUUUCAGAUCAUGGAAUGACUGCAGAUUCAACUACAGUACAAAACCCUCUGUUAUUGGUGUGGUGCAGUAUGUGGUCAGUGUGGUGCAGUAUGAGGACACAAGUGAAGUGUGGAGCAGUAUGUGGGGACAACAGACCACGAGUGAAGCUUCUCACAAUACACAACGGUGUUCCUUCAGGUAACAGCUGAUGUACGUGAAGGCCAAUGGAGAAGUGACAGAACCUCGAGCAAGAUUUAACUACCAGCAUGUUACUUCAGCCUCAUCAGUUAAGUUACUUGUACAGUAUAUCUUAGCUAGUAUCUUUAUCCAAUAAACCACUCGACACUGCUCCUACACUGGGCAGUGGAGGGUGUGUGGGGGGUGCCUUGCUGACUGUUUGAGGCCUAAUAGGUCUGUGUGUAGACCUAGUGAUCAGUGUGUGAGGCCUGGCGGACACUCUUGGAGGACUGUGUUGGAGGGCUAUGGAGGACGAUCUGUAGACAGACUGAUAUUAGAGUAAAAUUAAUAUUAGUUGUAGUGACAGUAGAAAUAUACAGAACUGUAUGCCUAUUGAUUAUUAGUGAAAAUUAGUAGCAGUAGUAAACAUAGUGACAGCUGAUGUAUGUGAAGCCCAAUGGAGAAGUGACAGAACCUUGAGCAACAUUUAACACCCAGCAUGUUACUUCAGCCUCAUCAGUUAAGUUACUUAUAUAUAUCUUGGCUAUUAUGGUCAUCCCAUAAACUACUCAACACCGUGCUUCUACACUCGGCAGUGGAGGGUGUGUGGGGGGCCUGGCUGACUGUGUGAUGGAGGGUUCUGGAGGACUGUGUGUGAAGGAGGGCUCUGGAGGACUGUGAUGGAGGGCUCUGGAGGACUGUGUGUGAAGGAGGGCUCGUGAGUACUGAGUGGACAGAUUGGUCUUCGAGUAAAAUUAAUAUUAGUUGUAGUGACAGUAUAAAUAUACAGGACUACAUGCCUAUUGGUUAUUAGAGAAAAUUAGUAGUAGUAGUGGUAGUAGUAGUAAAUACAGCAAGUAAAGCAAGUUGUUGUGGGUGGGUUUCAACUAACUUUACUAACCUAACUUAACCAGCCUAAGUUAAUUAAACGUAAUAACGUAGACUGAAGCAAAUCCGUAAUAAGGUCACCGCGACCCCUAGCUGGGGACGUCAAAGGCUCGGUCGGAUUGGUACACCGUCAAUGACUCAGCUCAUCUUGGAGGGAGGGGGGGGGUGGCGAGCUACCUCCGGUGUCCUGGCUGAACUGCGAGAGGGGCAACCACUGGUGUCCUGCCUUCCUGCGAGAUGGUCGUUGAUCUACCCGACCCGUCUUGGGACAACAACCACGGAGUCUAGCAUGUGUAGGAGUCGAUGGGGUCACUGAGCCCGAAGGCGAGAUGAAGGUAACGGGCGCCUGGUGCGUCUUGGGCAGAUCCUCAACUGGCUGCCUCUGGCCGUGCACGUGUGGCGUUUGCGUGGUUGAGACCCUUUCCCCCCACUGGGAAAAGGGCCUUCCCCCGCGCAUGACCACGUGAGUGCACAUGUCGCUGCGUUUCUCUGGGUGCACACGUCGCCACCUCAGCUUGUUUGCAGCUGGGUGGGUGGAGCGGCCCAAAAAGCUCCCAUCUCGCCUCCCUAUUUUCCCUUCCUUCAUAUCUUUGAGUUAUAUAUAAAAAUAAGUGUUUUUAUGUCUACUUAAAUAAAUUAUAUACAAUAUGCCUAUAUGCCUAUCGAUUGAUUUUUAUCCUAAGAGUUAUCUGAUAAAAAUGUGAAUUUAUUAGGAAGGUACUGGUAUGGAGGGUAGGACAUGGAACACUAUGAAUUAGUGCUUUAUUUGUAGUAAUAAUUAUAUAAACAAAAUGACAACUCAUAAUUUAUGGUUAAGUGAAAAAAAAUUGUAGCUGUCGUAUUUAAUAUUUGGUUAGGUAGGUUAAGUUAAAGUUAGGGUAGGUGAGGUUAGGUGAGGCUAGGCUAGGUUAUUUCCAUGUUUUGUGCCAGUUAUUCACUGGCAAUGGGGGGGCAAUUGUACAUGAACCAAGCUGUGCAGCUUUUUACAACCAUGACAUUGCAGGUGUGACUAGCCUACAGUAUUUUAGGCCUACUUCAAAAUGUUUUUUCUGUGUUUUCGAUCAACUGAUAACUAUAAAAACAGAGAUAUAGAAGACCGAAAGCUUAAAAAGACAGGUGGUGGUCCACGAGAAAAAAAUAUUAAAAGCUUCAGAAGAAACUGCCUUAACAGCAUCACUGAUGAGGGCCGAGUUAGCAGUGGCUGGUGAUUUUUACGAGACCUUCCGCAGUCACCCAGUAGAUGAAGAAAUAAUUCCUUAUAGAAUGUGCAGAUAGGUGAGAAUAUUUAUUGAUUUAUACAGUUGUAUGCAUUCUCAUUGAUACCAUUGCUCAAUCGCCUUUGGCUGUGUAAAAAUCAAACGGCAGCAGUGACCUACCUUAUACUGACUUUUUGCAGUUUUGCCUGUUCCAACCCCAGGGCCAUCAACUGUGCUCACCAGUCAUUGUUCCUGCCUCGACAGUGAAUGCUCCUACCUCACCAGUGAAUGCUCCUGCCUCGCCAGUCAUUGUUGCUUCACCAGUCAUUGUUCCUGCCUCACCAGUCCUUGCUCCUGCCUCACCAACACUGGAGCAGGUUCAGAUAUGACUGUAGCCUACAGUAUUUAAGGCCUACUUCAAAAAAUGUUUUGUUUGUUUGUUUUCGAUCUACUGAUGUAAGUGCACAACAGCAUCGUAAAGUAUAACCAUGUUUUUGUACUCCAUUUUUAUGGCAAAUUUACAUUUUUUAAACUAUAUACACUCUUUGAAUAUUACUGUAUUGUAAAAUCCUACAAAACCGUCAUAUAUUUCUUUUGUGAUGCAUAUAUGUACAGUAAAUGAUAUUAGUCUGUUCUGCAUCCCCUUUGGCCAUAGGCAUUGGUGAUGAAAGCAUUAUAAAAGCCAAUGCUGCUGCUAUUGUUAUACAGCAUUAAUUUCUUCUGUUUCUUUCAGAACUAUAAAAACAGAGAUAUAGAAGACCGAAAGCUUAAAAAGACAGGUGGUGGUCCACGAGAAAAAAAUAUUAAAAGCUUCAGAAGAAACUGCCUUAACAGCAUCACUGAUGAGGGCCGAGUUAGCAGUGGCUGGUGAUUUUUACGAGACCUUCCGCAGUCACCCAGUAGAUGAAGAAAUAAUUCCUUAUAGAAUGUGCAGAUAGGUGAGAAUAUUUAUUGAUUUAUACAGUUGUAUGCAUUCUCAUUGAUACCAUUGCUCAAUCGCCUUUGGCUGUGUAAAAAUCAAACGGCAGCAGUGACCUACCUUAUACUGACUUUUUGCAGUUUUGCCUGUUCCAACCCCAGGGCCAUCAACUGUGCUCACCAGUCAUUGUUCCUGCCUCGACAGUGAAUGCUCCUACCUCACCAGUGAAUGCUCCUGCCUCACCAGUCAUUGUUGCUUCACCAGUCAUUGUUCCUGCCUCACCAGUCCUUGCUCCUGCCUCACCAACACUGGAGCAGGUUCAGAUAUGACUGUAGCCUACAGUAUUUAAGGCCUACUUCAAAAAAUGUUUUGUUUGUUUGUUUUCGAUCUACUGAUGUAAGUGCACAACAGCAUCGUAAAGUAUAACCAUGUUUCUGUACUCAAUUUUUAAUGGCAAAUUUACAGGUUUUAAAACUGUCUACAGGCCCUUUAAAUAUUGCUGUAUUGUAAAAUUCUACAAAACCGUCAUAUAUUUCUUUUGUGAUGCAUAUAUGUACAGUAAAUGAUAUUAGUCUGUUCUGCAUCCCCUUUGCUCAUAGGCAUUGGUGAUGAAAGCAUUAUACAAGCCAAUGCUGUUGCUAUUGCUAUACAGCAUUAAUUUCUUCUCUUUCUUUCAGAAAUAUAAAAACAGAGAUAUAAAAGACCGAAAACUUGAGGGCCGAGUUAGCAGUGGCUGAUGAUUUUUACGAGACUUUCCGCAAUCACCCAGUAGAUGAAGAAAUAAUUCCUUGUGGAAUGUGCAAGUAGUUUUCCCUGUUCCAACCCUAGGGCCAUCAACUAUGCCUCACCAGUCAUUGUUCCUGCCUCACCAGUGAAUGCUCCUGCCUCACCAGUCAGUUUUCCUGCCUCACCAGUCAUUGUUUCUGCCAGGGCCGGCGCCAGCCUAUUUGGCGCCCUUAGCAGGACUGCAGCUGGCGUCCCCACCCGCCUCCCACUUCACGAUUGGGUUUGCCCACAAAGUAAUCCAGAAUCUACUGGGUGUAAUCGACAGCUCAGGCAGAGCUGUUGGGUGAGUGGAACUCGAAGCUGAUCGAGGGAGGAGUAGUGCGGGGCACUGACGCUCUCAGGCAUCAGUCCAGCGUCUGAAACUCCUCCACGCACAGGUUCCUCUUGGCCAAGAGCCUUGUAGAUUGGGACGACCUCCACACUAAUUUGGGAGAUGGAUGAAGGCCAGUGAACUCGGGUAAAUUCGUGAACACGAGCGUCAGGAACUAACCACCUCCUCUGGGAUCCAGUCAACUGGUCAGCCGUUCAAUGUCCAGUUUGUUGAUAUCACAGGCAGAGCAAACAGUGCCAGCCCCCUUCAUUGUUAUGGGUGAGUCCACUACUCAGUAGGGGUAUAUGGUGGCUGUGUUAUUCCUCUGAAUACACCUGUAUGUAUUCACCUGAAUUGUCUGAGUGUUUGGAGUCAGCAAGAGUAGGUUGACCAUCAGUUUGUGCGUGGGCAAAGGUACCAUAGUGGUGAAGAGAAGCUACUAAUUCUGGUGAUGUUAAAGUAUUAGUGUUGGUGCUGUAACUGGCAUCAUUGCCACUUGUAAUAGUGCUCAAAGGUGCUAUGUAAGAGUAUUGUGUGUGUUCUUGUACAUGUAAGUGGAAAAUGUACCUAAGUUUAACAGUACCAAAUAAGUAAAGCCAGGGAGUUGACCCCCAUCAUUCUCUCCCAUUGCUUGAUAUCAGAAUUACAGUGUACCCAUGUCAUAACCCCCGAGCCACAAUACCAAAGAUCAAGA